GAUAUUCAUGGGGAUAUUCAGUGCUGCUUUUUGGACAAACUUCUUGAUACAACAAGCCGGCACCUGGUGUAUCGACCGAGCCAUUAAAUCACACAGAACUCCUGUCUGAGAGAGUUUUGGGAUUGCUGUGCCACCCAAACCCUGGCUGGCACUGCAAGGUGUUUGUUAGAACCACUAUUUGUGAGAAGAAACCUGGGUGUGCUCAUUUCUUGCUGAGGUUCCCCUCACUGCCCUUGUCUCCAGCUCCAAUCCCUCUCUGCAGAGACCUGCCUGACUCACUGCACAAUUUGGAAACAGCCCCAGAUGGCCAGGAAUGGGAUCCCCCACGCUCUCCUCCCAGUCUGAGAAGACAAGAAAAUAAACAAGGAAAAUGUCUGUGCUGAUGGCAUCUGUUGGCUCCCUCAUAAGUACAAUCUGGUUAGGAAUUCAACAUGCCAAGACAUGUGAUGGAAGGAUUCUGGAAGGAAAGUGAAAAAUGACAUAAAUGAGCUGCAGCAACAGCCCUGCCCUGGCAAGGAGUACAACUGGAGCUCUGCGCAGCCUCUGCUCUAGGGCAGCACAAGGCACCACUGGCAGUGCCAGUCCAGCCUGGCAGAGCCCAAUUCCUGCAGAGACCACAGACACUGCAGAGGGAACGUGGCACAAAGCACUCCAUGGAAAACCAUGGACAACUGGAGUCCUACACUGUCAAGGGCUGGAAUUCAAAGCAGCAGAAUGAUGUUUCCCUUUGUUACAAUCAUUCCAAUUCCAGAUCAAACACUGCAGUGGGUUUGGGGUGCUCUCCCCCAGUGUAACACCUCGGACCUCUGAGCCCUUGCUGUGAUAAAAAGCUGCAGACACAACUCCCCAACGAAUGUCUUCAUAAUACUUAAAAUUCAACGGAGCAAGAGGAGAAUAAUGAGCACUGCAGCCAUCCCAGGCACUGGAAUUCCACUGGAGACAGGGAUUCCUGUCAGCCUGGGCUCUGCCCAGUGCUGGAUCUGUGCUGGCACCAGGCAGGAGCUCCACAGCCCUCACAGGUGCAGCAGGUGUGGUCUGAAGGAAGUGCAGCUCUUCCUGAUGACUUCAAACACGAGCAGACUGGAGAGGGAAAGGGGGAGGCUGCAGAGCCAGGAGCAGCAGAGAGGCUGUCAGGGGAACCCUCAGCACUGGAACCUUUCAGAGCAGGAAGAUGUGAUGGUUUCAUCCUGAACCACACGCAGGGGUGAGACAUUCCCUGUCCCUGCUCUCAGCCUUGGCUUUGCCUCCCUAAAACCAGCCCUGCCCCAGCAGCAGCCUCCCCCUGCCAGCAGGGAUUGUGCCUGUGCUGACAUUUAGGGAUAUUGGUGUAGGUUGCUCUGGAUUGGAUUGGGAGAAUUAAAAAUAUUGAAUUGGACAGUAAAUAAAAGAGGAGAGGUCACUGCCAUCCAGCACUCCUUUAUUUCUGGUUAUUUAUUGAGGCAGUUCCAUAUUGAGUCCGUUAGUGCUGAGUUCAAAAUUCACUUCAGAGCCCCUGGAAGCAGAAUUUGGCUGUGCCCCGAGAGCCUCUGCCCUGGUGGGUGUCAGGAUUGAAAUCCAGCAGGGUUCUGUGCUGCAGCAGGGAUUGAUGUUGUCCAUGGCAUUCAGGCAGCCCUGUGUCACCAUGUCCCCAAGGGCUGUGUCCUGUCCUGUUCCUCAAGGUGUUAAAAUGUCAUGAUUUCCAGAUUUUAAUAGGAACACCCCAUAAUAUUGUGCCCCCUUCUUGGAGGUGUGUCUCUGCCCUAAAUUCUGUUUUUUCUGAUUUUCCUCCCUGCAUUCAGCCAGCAAGGAGGAUAGGAUAAUCUCACAUAUUAUUUCUCUUAUUUACAGUACAAGCAACACCCUGUUUAUUGUUAUCAAUUAGAUAUUUACUAGGCUUGAGACGCUGAAAUUAAAGGAAACAUUGAGCUGAUGGGAGGGUUCUUUUGGGCUCGUGGAGCCCAGUGCUGGAGUCAGAGGUGCCCCUUCUGUUAGCCACAGAUGGGCCCAGAGCUGGUGACACAGUUGGUGCCCCGGAGCAGGAGCUGACCUGUGUCCAAACCCCUCCUGCAUGCAGGGCUGGGAGCAGCUCAGCUGGAACCAGUGGAAAAAAUCAAGGAUGAAUUUGUAGAAAAAACAAGCUGAGGUUUGGCUUGCUACAACCUCCCCCCCACCCCAGCUCUGGUAUUACAACAAUCUGAAUAUCAGUUAAAGUAAAUGUAACUUCUUGCAUCCAACCAAGCUGGGGGAUAAAUCUCUGUGUUUUUAUAAUAAAUGCACUUUAUGGCAAUCACCAUAUGCUACCUUUGGUCCUGUUUGGAGUGUAAAUCAUAACAAAUGUGGAUCCUAAAAUGCUUUAUUGUCUUUUUACGGCCACAUACGGCUGCUGCUCCUUCCAUUUGUGAUUAAUUUUUUUAAUGGUUCCCCCUAGAACCUAAAAAAUAAUUAAAGCUAAUGAAUACUCUGUGGUGACAGUAAAGGAAGGAGCAUAUUGCAUCUCUCUCACUCCCAGAUCUGAUCAAAAGCGGGCUGGAGCUGUGAAGUUGUGACACUGACAUUUUGUACUGAGCUGCCGACCACCUCCUGAGACCAAAUGAUGACUUUGGGGAAGAGCAGGAAUUAGAGUUUUCAUUGUUUCACAGCCAUAGUGCUGAGAGGGUGGAAUUAAAAGCAGUUGAAGUCACAAUGUUUAUUUCUUAGCGAAUCCUCUCUAAAGAAUCAAUCUGAGAUGUAAAGGACUUUAAGACAGA